GUUUAAGUAGUUUAUAAAAACGCUGGUCUUGUAAAUCAGAAUAGAGUAAUAUUACUCCUUAAUCU
rnacentral:tRNA from 1 species